rnacentral:lncRNA from 1 species
UUGCUCUCUAACUAAGUAAUUUGUAUCCUUUGUUAUUAUUUGGUUCAAGUGCUGUUAAUUUCCUCCAGAAAAUGCUAUACAAGCCAUAAGCUUUCUACCAAAGUGAUUUCACGAAGUGAGUGCUUAUCAACCGAUUUAAAUAAUGUUAGGAAUUAGGAUUACUAUUAUAUAAAUGUGUUAAAUUAGAAGAAUGAUUCUGAUUCUACUAUAUAUUUGCCCAGCCAAAGGCUCAUGCUCCAU